GACGAACCGAGCGAACGUUGUUCGGAAUUACUGGGCGUAAAGGGCUCGUAGGCGGCCAACUAAGUCAUACGUGAAAUCCCUCAGCUUAACCGGGGAACUGCGUCUGAUACUGGAUGGCUUGAAUCCGGGAGAGGGAUGCGGAAUUCCAGGUGUAGCGGUGAAAUGCGUAGAUAUCUGGAGGAACACCGGUGGCGAAGGCGGCAUCCUGGACCGGCAUUGACGCUGAGGAGCGAAAGCCAGGGGAGCAAACGGG
rnacentral:rRNA from 1 species